AUUGAACGCUGGCGGCAGGCUUAACACAUGCAAGUCGAGCGGGGUGAUGGUGCUUGCACUAUCACUUAGCGGCGGACGGGUGAGUAAUGCUUAGGAAUCUGCCUAUUAGUGGGGGACAACAUCUCGAGAGGGAUGCUAAUACCGCAUACGUCCUACGGGAGAAAGCAGGGGAUCACUUGUGACCUUGCGCUAAUAGAUGAGCCUAAGUCGGAUUAGCUAGUUGGUGGGGUAAAGGCCUACCAAGGCGACGAUCUGUAGCGGGUCUGAGGGGAUGGACCGCCACACUGGGACUGAGACACGGCCCAGACGCCUACGGGAGGCAGCAGGGGGGAAUAUUGGACAAUGGGGGGAACCCUGAUCCAGCCAUGCCGCGUGUGUGAAGAAGGCCUUAUGGUUGUAAAGCACUUUAAGCGAGGAGGAGGCUCUUUUGGUUAAUACCCAAGAUGAGUGGACGUUACUCGCAGAAUAAGCACCGGCUAACUCUGUGCCAGCCGCCGCCGUAA
rnacentral:rRNA from 1 species